AUGGUCAUCGCCAUCCGCCCCAGCGGCUUUGGCACAGAAAUUGGAUCCGGAAUCCUCGUCCUGCAGGUCGAUCAUGGUCAGGGCAGUGUCGCUCUGCACGUUGUCCCUGGAGAUCCUGACCUGUCCCGUGACCGACGGGGCGUUGCAGCCGUGACCCUGCUGGAGUGCGGGGGGGACCUCCAGCCCCCCGGGGGUUCCCUGCGCCUCAUCUGCCGAGGGUCCGAGUUUGAUUUCGGGAGUUUUGGCAUGCAAUGGGUGCACCAGAGACCCGGGCAGGGGCUGGAAUACAUUGCCAGUAUCAGCAGCAGUGGUGGUAGCACCGACUACGCGCUGUCGGCCAAGGGCCGGGCCACGAUCUCCAGGGACAACGGGCAGAGCUCGGUGAUGCUGACCGUGAACAACCUCAAGGACGAGGAUUCGGCUGUUUAUUUCUGUGCCAAACGUGGUACUAGUGGUUAUGGUGGUGCUGCUGCUUAG